rnacentral:rRNA from 1 species
CUUGGUCAUUUAGAGGAAGUAAAAGUCGUAACAAGGUUCCCUUCCGCCGCUCAGCACGGAGACCUUGCAACCCCUAGGGGAGGCAGCACGACAGUAAAUAAAGCUCGCCGUUUGCAAGUUGGCCAAUUGGCCGGCAACACAAUCGAAUUGACGGGGACCUCCUAAAGCCUGUAACACCAACCGUCUGGGGAAACUCGGACGAGGCCCUCACGGGGGUGGUAAGAGAGUACAGGAUGCAACAAUGGACAAUCCGCAGCGAAGACCCUACCGGCUCCGGCCCACGGGUACCGUUCACAGACUAAGUGAUUGUGGGCGGGGCAGUUGUGCCCUGUCUAAGAUAUAGUCGGACUCUAUCCGAAAGGAUAGAGGAUAGCAUGUCCGUAGGUGAACCUGCGGAAGGAUCAUUAAAGAAUGCCCCGUUUUUUGAAAUGGGUUCUAUUCCCAAACCGUGUAUAUAUACCUUUGUUGCUUUGGCAGGCCGCCUUCGGGCGUCGGCUCACGCUGACCGUGCCUACCAGAGGACCCAAACUCGUUUGUUUAGUGAUGUCUGAGUACUAUAUAAUAGUUAAAAACUUUCAACAACGGAUCUCUUGGUUCUGGCAUCGAUGAAGAACGCAGCGAAAUGCGAUAAGUAAUGUGAAUUGCAGAAUUCAGUGAAUCAUCGAAUCUUUGAACGCACAUUGCGCCCCUUGGUAUUCCGAGGGGCAUGCCUGUUCGAGCGUCAUUAUAAUCACUCAAGUCUAGCUUGGUAUUGGGGUUCGCGGUCUCGCGGCCCUUAAAAUCAGCGGCGGUGCCAUCUGGCUCUAAGCGUAGUAAUUUAUCUCGCUAUUGGGUCCGAUAGUUGCUUGCCAACAACCCCCAACUUCUAAGGUUGACCUCGGAUCAGGUAGGGAUACCCGCUGAACUUAAGCACAUCAAUAAGCGGAGGAAA